rnacentral:rRNA from 1 species
GGCUUCGGCCAAUAUGAGGGUGUGGUUUGCUGGCACAGCGUCCGCCCCAAGUAUUUUUCACCCAUGUCUUUUGCGCACUUUUUGUUUCCUGGGCGAGUUCGCUCGCCACCAGGACCCAACCAUAAACCUUUUUUUAUGCAGUUGCAAUCAGCGUCAGUAUAAUAAUUCAAUUUAUUAAAACUUUCAACAACGGAUCUCUUGGUUCUGGCAUCGAUGAAGAACGCAGCGAAAUGCGAUACGUAGUGUGAAUUGCAGAAUUCAGUGAAUCAUCGAAUCUUUGAACGCACAUUGCGCCCUUUGGUAUUCCAAAGGGCAUGCCUGUUCGAGCGUCAUUUGUACCCUCAAGCUUUGCUUGGUGUUGGGCGUCUUUUUGUCUCUCCCCUUGUUGGGGGAGACUCGCCUUAAAACGAUUGGCAGCCGACCUACUGGUUUUCGGAGCGCAGCACAAAUUUGCGCCUUCCAAUCCACGGGGCGGCAUCCAGCAAGCCUUUGUUUUCUAUAACAAAUCCACAUUUUGACCUCGGAUCAGGUAGGGAUACCCGCUGAACUUAAGCAUAUCAAAAGCCGGGAGGAA